rnacentral:rRNA from 1 species
UACGUAGGGGGCAAGCGUUGUCCGGAAUCAUUGGGCGUAAAGAGCGUGUAGGCGGCCUGGUAAGUCCGCUGUGAAAGUCCAGGGCUCAACCCUGGAAUGCCGGUGGAAACUGUCAGGCUCGGGUCCGGAAGAGGCGAGUGGAAUUCCUGGUGUAGCGGUGAAAUGCGCAGAUAUCAGGAGGAACACCAAUGGCGAAGGCAGCUCGCUGGGACGGUACUGACGCUGAGGCGCGAAAGCGUGGGGAGCAAACAGG